UACGUAGGGGGCAAGCGUUGUCCGGAAUCAUUGGGCGUAAAGAGCGCGUAGGCGGUCCGGUAAGUCCGCUCUGAAAGUCCGGGGCUCAACCCCGGGAGGCGGGCGGAUACUGCCGGGCUAGAGUACAGAAGGGGCAACUGGAAUUCUCGGUGUAGCGGUGAAAUGCGUAGAUAUCGAGAGGAACACCGGCGGCGAAGGCGGGAUGCUGGGCUGAUACUGACGCUGAGGCGCGAAAGCCAGGGGAGCGAACGGG
rnacentral:rRNA from 1 species